rnacentral:rRNA from 1 species
CACGUAGUCAACCUGCCCUCGGGACGGGAACAAUCUCGGGAAACUGAGGCUAAUUCCUGAUAGGUCAAGAUUCCUGGAAUGGGUUUUGGCUCAAAGGGCGUGGCAACAUCUUGCCAUUUUCGCCCGAGGAUGGGACUGCGGCCGAUCAGGCUGUUGGUGGGGUAAAGGCCCACCAAACCAGUAACCGGUACGGGCUUUGAGAGAAGGAGCCCGGAGAUGGACACUGAGACAAGGGUCCAGGUCCUACGGGGCGCAGCAGGCGCGAAACCUUCGCAAUGUGCGAAAGCACGACGAGGUUAUUCCGAGUGGUCUCCGCUGAGGAGACCUUUUCUCAGAUCUAAAACGUCUGGGGAAUAAGGGGAGGGCAAGUCUGGUGUCAGCCGCCGCGGUAAUACCAGCUCCUCGAGUGGUCAGGGCGUUUAUUGGGCCUAAAGCAUCCGUAGCCGGCUCAGUUGGUCUCCUGUUAAAUCCAACGGCUCAACCGUUGGCCUGCAGGAGAUACCGCUGGGCUAGGAGGCGGGAGAGGCGGACGGUACUCCGAGGGUAGGGGUAAAAUCCUUUGAUCCCCGGAAGACCACCAGUGGCGAAGGCGGUCCGCCAGAACGCGCUCGACGGUGAGGGAUGAAAGCUGGGGGAGCGAACCGGAUUAGAUACCCGGGUAGUCCCAGCUGUAAACGAUGCGAGCUAGGUGACACGACGCCUUCGGGGCGUCGUGGUGCCGCAGGGAAGCCGUUAAGUCUGCCGCCUGGGGAGUACGGACGCAAGUCUGAAACUUAAAGGAAUUGGCGGGGGAGCACCACAAGGGGUGAAGCCUGCGGUUCAAUUGGAGUCAACGCCGGG